AGCGAACGCUGGCGGCAGGCCUAACACAUGCAAGUCGAACGAACCCUUCGGGGUUAGUGGCGGACGGGUGAGUAACACGUGGGAACGUGCCUUUAGGUUCGGAAUAACUCAGGGAAACUUGUGCUAAUACCGAAUGUGCCCUUCGGGGGAAAGAUUUAUCGCCUCUAGAGCGGCCCGCGUCUGAUUAGCUAGUUGGUGAGGUAAUGGCUCACCAAGGCUACGAUCAGUAGCUGGUCUGAGAGGAUGACCAGCCACAUUGGGACUGAGACACGGCCCAAACUCCUACGGGAGGCAGCAGUGGGGAAUCUUGCGCAAUGGGCGAAAGCCUGACGCAGCCAUGCCGCGUGGAUGAUGAAGGUCUUAGGAUUGUAAAAUCCUUUCACCGGUGAAGAUAAUGACUGUAGCCGGAGAAGAAGCCCCGGCUAACUUCGUGCCAGCAGCCGCCGUAA
rnacentral:rRNA from 1 species